AUCCUGGCUCAGAUUGAACGGCUGGCGGCAGGCCUAACACAUGCAAGUCGAGCGGUAGAGAGGUGCUUGCAUCUCUUGAGAGCGGCGGACGGGUGAGUAAUGCCUAGGAAUCUGCCUAGUGGUGGGGGGAUAACGUUCGGAAACGGACGCUAAUACCGCAUACGUCCUACGGGAGAAAGCGGGGGGAUCUUCGGACCUCGCGCCAUUAGAUGAGCCUAGGUCGGAUUAGCUAGUUGGUGAGGUAAUGGCUCACCAAGGCGACGAUCCGUAACUGGUCUGAGAGGAUGAUCAGUCACACUGGAACUGAGACACGGUCCAGACUCCUACGGGAGGCAGCAGUGGGGAAUAUUGGACAAUGGGCGAAAGCCUGAUCCAGCCAUGCCGCGUGUGUGAAGAAGGUCUUCGGAUUGUAAAGCACUUUAAGUUGGGAGGAAGGGUAGUAACCUAAUACGUUGCUACUUUGACGUUACCGACAGAAUAAGCACCGGCUAACUUCGUG
rnacentral:rRNA from 1 species